rnacentral:rRNA from 1 species
CCCUUAGAUGUUCUGGGCUGCACGCGCGCUACACUGAUGCACUCAACGAGUUUACGACCUUGCCCGAUAGGGUUGGGUAAUCUUUUUAAAAUGCAUCGUGAUGGGGAUAAAUUAUUGCAAUUAUUAAUCUUCAACGAGGAAUUCCUAGUAAGCGCGAGUCAUCAGCUCGUGCUGAUUACGUCCCUGCCCUUUGUACACACCGCCCGUCGCUCCUACCGAUUGAGUGCUCAGGUGAAUAAUUCGGACUGCAGCAAUGUUUGGAUCCCGAACGUUGCAGCGGAAAGUUUAGUGAACCUUAUCACUUAGAGGAAGGAGAAGUCGUAACA